GCAUUGGUGGUUCAGUGGUAGAAUUCUUGCCUGUCAUGCAGGAGACUCGGGUUCGCUUCUCAGCCUAUGCA
rnacentral:tRNA from 1 species